UCCUAGCACAAGCCUGGCUUUCCUGCACCCUGACACCCUGCCAGCUGAGUCACAGGUUUCAGGGUGUGGAUGCAGGAAACAGAGCAAAGCUCUACCCCUAACUCUGGCUGCACAUUUUUGACUUCGGUGAGCACAGGGGAGUCGGGCUGCUUACUGACUCUGUUAUGUACCUGAAGGCAAAUCAAUGAUGAAAAUGAUUCUGUAUUUGCAUGUUGCUUGUUUUUACAGAAAGAUAUUAUUGAUAAACGUGAGAAACCACAGUCACUGCAUACAAGAGGUUCUGAGGUUGGCCACACCCCGCUCAGCUGCCCUUGCCCUCGGCCUGCACUUCCUAAGGAGCAGCAGCUCUCCCGUGACCUCUGGACCAUGCCUGGACUUCUCUGCUAGAGGGCUUCCCUCUGUGCGACAUUUCGAGCCUUGCAAGGAUCAGAUCCAGAAUUGUUGGGGAGAAAAAAUAAAGUUUUUGCUGAAAUGUUGGCAAAUCUGAGAACGAACAGUAACAAACAAACUUAAGUUCUCUUUCUUGAUCUCUUCAGACAGCUGGCCCUUCUCCGCUAGCGUUUUCUCCUUGGCUUCGACCUCCGCUGUUCUCUCUGGUCAGGUAGCAAGGGCUCUUCAGGACUCUGGAUCUGUUUCCUCCAUCUUACAUUAUUCUUCCAAAAUCCCGCCCCUCCCAAAUAUCCUUCAUGUCAGUCUUUCCCUCGUCCCACGUCCCUCUAACCACGGCUACCAGGCUUCUUCCAUACGCCUGUCUAUGUUGGUGAUCCUCAAGCUUUUUCUCCCGUCCUUUGUAGUUAUAUACAUCCUUGAACAAAACGAAGUCAUUAAAAUUUACCUUGUUCCUGUU